rnacentral:rRNA from 1 species
CGGGUGAGUAAUGUAUGGGAUCUGCCUGAUGGGCGGGGAUAACUACUGGAAACGGUAGCUAAUACCGCAUAAUGUCUGCGGACCAAAGCGGGGGACCUCCGGGCCUCGCGCCAUCAGAUGAACCCAUAUGGGAUUAGCUUGUAGGUAAGGUAACGGCUUACCUAGGCGACGAUCCCUAGCUGGUCUGAGAGGAUGAUCAGCCACACUGGGACUGAGACACGGUCCAG